UACGUAGGUGACAAGCGUUGUCCGGAUUUACUGGGCGUAAAGAGCGCGCAGGCGGUCGAUCAAGUCGAGUGUGAAAGCCCCCGGCUCAACUGGGGAGGGUCAUUCGAUACUGAUCGACUCGAAGGCAGGAGAGGGUAGUGGAAUUCCCGGUGUAGUGGCGAAAUGCGUAGAUAGUCGGGAGGAACACCAGUGGCGAAGGCGGCACGCUGGACCUUUUCUGACGCUGAGGCGCGAAAGCCAGGGGAGCAAACGGG
rnacentral:rRNA from 1 species